rnacentral:rRNA from 1 species
AUACGGAGGAUCCGAGCGUUAUCCGGAUUUAUUGGGUUUAAAGGGUGCGCAGGCGGCCAUUUAAGUCAGCGGUUAAAUCGUGGGGCUCAACCCCAUUCUGCCAUUGAUACUGGGUGGCUUGAUUGCGGUCGAGGUUGGCGGAAUUCGUUGUGUAGCGGUGAAAUGCAUAGAUAUGACGAAGAACACCGAUUGCGUAGGCAGCUGACCAGACCGCAAAUGACGCUCAUGCACGAAAGUGCGGGGAUCGAACAGGAUUAGAUACCCUGGUAGUCCGCACAGUAAACGAUGAAUACUUGUUUUCGGCGAUAUAAUGUCGGAGGCAAAGCGAAAGCGAUAAGUAUUCCACCUGGGGAGUACGCCGGCAACGGUGAAACUCAAAUGAAUUGGCGGGG